rnacentral:rRNA from 1 species
UACGGAGGGUGCGAGCGUUGUCCGGAAUCACUGGGCGUAAAGGGCGCGUAGGCGGUUCGUUAAGUUGCUGGUGAAAUCCCGGGGCUCAACUCCGGGGCUGCCAGUAAGACUGGCGGGCUAGAGCACGGUAGAGGCAGAUGGAAUUCCCGGUGUAGCGGUGGAAUGCGUAGAUAUCGUUUGGAACGCCGAUGGUGAAAACAGGUCGCUGGGGUUGUGCUGACGCUGAGACACGAAAGCCAGGGGAGCGAACGGG